rnacentral:rRNA from 1 species
UACGUAGGGUGCAAGCGUUGUCCGGAAUUAUUGGGCGUAAAGAGCUCGUAGGCGGUUUGUCGCGUCUGCUGUGAAAACCCGAGGCUCAACCUCGGGCCUGCAGUGGGUACGGGCAGACUAGAGUGCGGUAGGGGAGAUUGGAAUUCCUGGUGUAGCGGUGGAGUGCGCAGAUAUCAGGAGGAACACCGAUGGCGAAGGCAGGUCUCUGGGCCACUACUGACGCUGAGAAGCGAAAGCAUGGGGAGCGAACAGG